UACGUAGGUGGCGAGCGUUGUCCGGGUUUACUGGGCGUAAAGGGAGCGUAGGCGGACUUUUAAGUGAGAUGUGAAAUACUCGGGCUCAACUUGAGUGCUGCAUUUCAAACUGGAAGUCUAGAGUGCAGGAGAGGAGAAUGGAAUUCCUAGUGUAGCGGUGAAAUGCGUAGAGAUUAGGAAGAACACCAGUGGCGAAGGCGAUUCUCUGGACUGUAACUGACGCUGAGGCUCGAAAGCGUGGGGAGCAAACAGG
rnacentral:rRNA from 1 species